AUGGCAUGAGUUUAAGCAUUAUCAUAAUAAAUGGAAAAGUUUGGUAGCAAAUUAAGCAGGGGCGAAGCCAAAUUUUUGGAAGGGUCCCUGGCUGGCGUCAUGGAGUGGAAUGUUGCUGAAUUGUCGGCAAAUUCCUACUGCAUUGAAAGUGUUUGUUGAAGAAGGUCUUCUUAAUGACUCAAAGCUGAUGAUCAUAGGGUCGGUUUCAGAAUAACACCGUUGUUUGGAGUUCAAAUUGCAGCAGGCGACCAUGGACUUUGGCUUAGAUCUUCAUGAAGAUCGAUGGAAUUGGUGGGCUCAUUUCAUUAUAUCUUGAAAGAGGGAAAUGGCUUUGCAGAUGCAUUGGUUAAAGGGGGAAUUUUUCGAACUAGCUUAUUCAAAGCUUGGUGGUAGGAGAUGUCUGGGUAUUUUUUUUUUCUUUUCCUGCUGGGUUUAUUUUAUAUGUUAAUAGUGGAAUUUUGUUUAAUUUAAGAGCUAAAAAUCAUCAUA